rnacentral:rRNA from 1 species
GACGAACGCUGGCGGCGUGCCUAAUACAUGCAAGUAGAACGCUGAAGCCUGGUGCUUGCACCGAGCGGAUGAGUUGCGAACGGGUGAGUAACGCGUAGGUAACCUGCCUGGUAGCGGGGGAUAACUAUUGGAAACGAUAGCUAAUACCGCAUAAGAGUAGAUAUUGCAUGACAUUUGCUUAAAAGGUGCAAUUGCAUCACUACCAGAUGGACCUGCGUUGUAUUAGCUAGUUGGUGAGGUAACGGCUCACCAAGGCAACGAUACAUAGCCGACCUGAGAGGGUGAUCGGCCACACUGGGACUGAGACACGGCCCAGACUCCUACGGGAGGCAGCAGUAGGGAAUCUUCGGCAAUGGACGGAAGUCUGACCGAGCAACGCCGCGUGAGUGAAGAAGGUUUUCGGAUCGUAAAGCUCUGUUGUAAGAGAAGAACGAGUGUGAGAGUGGAAAGUUCACGCUGUGACGGUAUCUUACCAGAAAGGGACGGCUAACUACGUGCCAGCAGCCGCGGUAAUACGUAGGUCCCGAGCGUUGUCCGGAUUUAUUGGGCGUAAAGCGAGCGCAGGCGGUUAGAUAAGUCUGAAGUUAAAGGCUGUGGCUUAACCAUAGUACGCUUUGGAAACUGUUUAACUUGAGUGCAAGAGGGGAGAGUGGAAUUCCAUGUGUAGCGGUGAAAUGCGUAGAUAUAUGGAGGAACACCGGUGGCGAAAGCGGCUCUCUGGCUUGUAACUGACGCUGAGGCUCGAAAGCGUGGGGAGCAAACAGG